rnacentral:rRNA from 1 species
UACGUAGGGUGCAAGCGUUAAUCGGAAUUACUGGGCGUAAAGCGUGCGCAGGCGGCUUUGCAAGACAGAUGUGAAAUCCCCGGGCUCAACCUGGGAACUGCAUUUGUGACUGCAAGGCUAGAGUACGGUAGAGGGGGAUGGAAUUCCGCGUGUAGCAGUGAAAUGCGUAGAUAUGCGGAGGAACACCGGUGGCGAAGGCAAUCCCCUGGACCUGUACUGACGCUCAUGCACGAAAGCGUGGGGAGCAAACAGG